rnacentral:misc_RNA from 1 species
UUUUCGUAGGUGAACCUGCGGAAGGAUCAUUAUUGAAUUUCGAAAGAAUCUGGGAAGUUUUGGGCUUUCUCACCGGAAGCCCCUUCCCCUUUCCUUCUUAAUCUCAUUCCAAACACUGUGAACUUGAACCCUCGCUUGGUUCUUUGCUGAGCCUCGCGUUGUAAUUUUAAACCUUUUAACCCUUGUGCAUUUGAACAAGUGAUGUGUUAUAACAUAAACGAAAGUUAAAUGAAAACUUUCAGCAAUGGAUCUCUUGGCUCUCGCAUCGAUGAAGAACGCAGC